rnacentral:misc_RNA from 1 species
UUUCCGUAGGUGAACCUGCGGAAGGAUCAUUAAUGAGUUGUCAUGGGGUUCGAUGCUGGCAGCCAAUUUUUGGAUGCAUGUGCUUGCCCUAACAAUCAUCUUCCAAACACCUGUGCACAUUUUUGAGGGAGUCUUGAGUUGGUUGCCGCUCUUGGGUGAUUUUCUCACAUUCCCUUAAAUCAUUAUACGCUAUUAACAAUGUUGAACGUGCUCUGUGCCGCAAGGCUAUUAAUAUAAUACAACUUUUAACAACGGAUCUCUUGGCUCUCGCAUCGAUGAAGAACGCAC